UGGGGGUUGAAGCUAACGGAAGUGUCGAUGGUUUUUAUGUCUGUUGACGCCUAUUUUGAGAAGGAAGUGAAAGGGCAGUGGUCGGCUUGACCUCUGUGAAGUCGAUUUCGUUGGCCGUGGAUCUCAGGUAAUGAUAAGGUCCGGCUACGGUUCUCUGAGGAACAAACUUGGUUCACCUCCCCCCCCAAUGUUCAAAUUCACUUCUAUUAUUAAAGACAAUCAAAUUGCCACGUAAAAGAAAAAAGAAUAUUAAAAACAAAAAAAAAGGAAAAUAGCUUUAAAAAAACAUAAAAGACGUUUUGUUCUUCUUUGAACUAAAAAAAUUUUAAAUAUUUUUUAUCAGAUAAAUAUAAAUUAUAUUUUAAAAUAAAUUUUUGUUAAUAUUGUAAAUUUUUUUUU
rnacentral:lncRNA from 1 species